UCUCUGCCAAAAAGGUGGGGGAUUUUGGUGUGUUUACUGCUUGCAUCGACACAAAGGAAAAUAACAGUCUCAGAUUGCAGUGCUACUAUCAAGACUGUUCACAACCUCCCUAUAAGCCCUUCAGCUGUGAAUUCAAGACAUCGAAUGGAGGUAUACUGGCUACAAUGAAAAACACGAUGUGCAAGAAUUACACUGUCCCAUUAACAGAACACAGUCAUAGCGAGUUGCAAGAGACUGGUAAUGUGACAAACUUCACAUGCACACUGACAAGAAACAAGAGGACUGAAACGAAGAAUAUCACCAUAGACUACAAGACACAAAAAGAAAAACAACAAAUCCCAAAGUGCUGUGCUGCAAGCCCAACCUCCCUGUGGCCUGUGGUGCUCCUCACUCUGUGGAGAGUCGUUGACUCCUGAUGAAGCAAGCAUGAAGGAGGGUCUCUGAACGCUUUGACUAACACAGAUGUAUCUGUUCCAUUUAGGCAUUUUGAAAUUUAAGAAACUUUCUUAAAUACAUUUCUAUGCAGGCGUCCAUUACUUGCCUGAUCCCCAAGUACAUGCAAUAAUGCAGUAUGUUAACAUAUAAACUGAAUUCCAACUAUGAUAUAUGAUAAUAUGAUAUAUUAAAGACUUAUGAAUUAAAA